CUGGGUUUAGACCGUCGUGAGACAGGUUAGUUUUACCCUACUGAUGAGUUCGUUGUCUAAACAGUAAUCCAACCCAGUACGAGAGGAACCGUUGGUUCAGAUAAUUGGUAACUGCGGUUAGCUGAAAAGCUAGUGCCGCCAAGCUACCAUCUGUAGGAUUAUGGCUGAACGCCUCU
rnacentral:ncRNA from 1 species